rnacentral:tRNA from 1 species
GGGGGUAUAGCUCAGUGGUAGAGCAUGUGCUUAGCACGCGUGAGGUCCUGGGUUCAAUCUCCGGUACCUCCA